CUUUCGAACCCAAUAGAGAGUUGUUGGCCGAAAUCUCUGGCCAACCACCCCCUACAAGAACCUCACCUAUCAAGAAAACUAUUCAAGGACUCGAGACUAGGAAGAAAGCGACAAGGGAUAGUUUUCGCACGAGGACAGCUCUCUGAUAGAGUUCUCCCACCAGAAAAGAUAAAAUGAGGGAUGGAUACUUGACUGACAGUGGCCCCUUUAUAUAGAGGAAUGCCCGACGGUCCAAAUGAAAGCGAUCAGAUCGAGACCACGUCGGAUAACGACACGUGGAAGCAUCUGGAUCUAUCAUUGACCCGAUGGUUCAAUGCACCUGUACCAGAUUGAACUACAUCACCUCCAUCCGUGUGAACAAUUCUGACCCAAUGAUGCCUCGACACAUGGCGAAAAUCUACAAGCC
rnacentral:lncRNA from 1 species